rnacentral:rRNA from 3 species
CACGUAGGAGGCGAGCGUUGUCCGGAAUCAUUGGGCGUAAAGAGCGCGCAGGCGGCUUGGCAAGUCGGGUGUGAAAUCCCGGGGCUCAACCCCGUGACUGCAUCCGAUACUGUCAGGCUAGAGGUAGGUAGGGGAGAUCGGAAUUCCUGGUGUAGCGGUGAAAUGCGCAGAUAUCAGGAGGAACACCGGUGGCGAAGGCGGAUCUCUGGGCCUUACCUGACGCUCAGGCGCGAAAGCUAGGGGAGCGAACAGG